rnacentral:rRNA from 1 species
AUUGAACGCUGGCGGCAUGCUUUACACAUGCAAGUCGAACGGCAGCGCGGGCUUCGGCCUUGCGGCGAGUGGCGAACGGGUGAGUAAUGCAUCGGAACGUGCCCAGUAGUGGGGGAUAGCCCGGCGAAAGCCGGAUUAAUACCGCAUACGACCUGAGGGUGAAAGCGGGGGACCGAAAGGCCUCGCGCUAUUGGAGCGGCCGAUGUCGGAUUAGCUAGUUGGUGGGGUAAAGGCUUACCAAGGCGACGAUCCGUAGCUGGUCUGAGAGGACGACCAGCCACACUGGGACUGAGACACGGCCCAGACUCCUACGGGAGGCAGCAGUGGGGAAUUUUGGACAAUGGGGGCAACCCUGAUCCAGCCAUGCCGCGUGCGGGAAGAAGGCCUUCGGGUUGUAAACCGCUUUUGUUCGGGAAGAAAUCCUCUGGGCUAAUACCCCGGGGGGAUGACGGUACCGGAAGAAUAAGCACCGGCUAACUACGUG